AACCGCGCGGAAGUGAGAAGUCGCGGCCAAAGGCGCCCGCCGAAACCUCCUCUCUGGGCCGGACCCCAGCCGGAGCGGCCGAAAGGAGCCCCCCGCCCGGAUCACAGAACUUUACAAGGAAAGGGGAAAUGUUGGAAAUGGAGAUGCACAACCUUGUCUUGAAGCAGAAGACUCAGCUAGAGCACAUCUGGACAUGCCUGGCAUUCCUCAAUAUAAUUCAAAUGAUAUUUUAAAAAGUCCUGCAGAAAAGAAGAUGCUGGCUGGCUGGCUGAUAAUGUUAAGUUGGAACAUCUUGGUGUAUCCAGAUCGUCCUGGGAGUGUCUCUAGGGGCAGGCUGCAGAGCUCCAACCUUCUUCCUGGACCAUGCAACAGAAGCAGAUUUAAGGAUGGCCCCAGACUGAGAGAGAUGGAGACAGAGAUAGAGAUAGAGAAGCUACAUAAUAUGACCAACAUAGAACCUAACUGUGGUAUUCUCCAGCAUUGCUCAGCCUUUCCUUCUCUGGACGUGACAACAUUACUAAGAAAGGAAGAGAAAAAGAUCUGCUUUCAGGGAGGUUCCAUCACUGGGGAGAGCCCCUAAUGGAAGUCCUUGCUUUGGUUACAUGGCAUAUGUUUAAUAAAUAAAAAGAUGCUCAUCUGGACUCCUGUACCAGUUAUCAUGUACUAAAUAAGGUUACCUAUUUCACUCUCCAUGUAGAAGCAUCUUUCAUAAACAUGUGACACAGAAGAUUUUACAAGUAUCAUUAUUGGCUGUGUUGAUUUUUUUUUGUUCUAUUUUAUCAGAUCUGUAGUCUUACAUUCAAUGAGGAAGCAUUUUCUCAGGUUCUCAAGAAAGUAACAAAAUGCCAGCAUUGUCAAGGUCACCAUUGUCACUGAAUUAUCUUACUGUUUGAUUAUUCCAUCUUCCUCUGCAUCAUAUUAGCCUGAUGACUAAAUUCUAAUUAUUUAAAGCACUAUGUAAAUCAAAACAGUAAAUGUAAUUUCUGGUCUUGCUAGAUAUCAUGUACAUUAGGUCGAAUAACUCUAGAAAUUUCAUCAUAAUCGUGUCAUGCCUAAUGAUGACCUACUCAGCCCCUGAAAACAUCAUUCAAUUACUCAUUUCAGCAUUGAUUUUUCUUAUGCUUCUCCUCAUGGCAUUUAAACAGCUCUCACAUCUCCCCUUUUACUGAGGUGUAAUGUUAUAUAAUGACAGAGAUGCCUUGCUUCCCAGAUUCAUAAUGCUACAUUC
rnacentral:lncRNA from 1 species